rnacentral:rRNA from 1 species
AUGUUGCUCAAAGUCACGGAGGUUCACGACCAUUCACGGAGUAUAGGCAAUUUUUGGAACAUAAGUUUGGACCUGAGAAUAAUGAACACAUAUGCUGUGAUGAAAUCUGGUAUGAAAAACCAUGAUGAAAAUGGCAAUAGUGGUGCAAUCAGCAGCCAGAAAGCACAAAAACGCCUUGAUGAUUAUUCUACUGGUAUGAAGGUAGCAUAUCCAGAGAAUUGGCAGGACAUAGAUUUGGAUGAAAGGGUCUUGUACAACACAUCGGGUGGCAUGCCUCAUGGCCGUGUAGCGAUUGCAUCUGGUGUUGUGAAGAAAGCUGUUGUUCUUUCUGCUGCCAGGGCAACAAAUCUGAAGCCAUCUAUUUCCACUGCUUACCGGAAUGCUAUCCAAGAGAAUGAACAAUUGCGUAGUACAGAUGAGAGUCUAAAAAGGAAAACAGAAAUUCAUGACCAAAUGUUCAAGAUGCUUUUUGCAAAGAUGGGAGAAGAGCUACCGGAGUGGUUCCUUCAGGGUCAAUCUAAUGCUCAUACACAGGGAAACACCAAUUCAUCCCAUGUUAGUUCAGGCGAUGGCCCUAUGGACCAUGAGGUCGGGCAUGACAAUAUUGAAGGCAACAAACGAUGGUGA